CGGAAGGAUCAUUACCGAGUGAGGGCCCUCUGGGUCCAACCUCCCACCCGUGUUUAUUUUACCUUGUUGCUUCGGCGGGCCCGCCUUUACUGGCCGCCGGGGGGCUCACGCCCCCGGGCCCGCGCCCGCCGAAGACACCCUCGAACUCUGUCUGAAGAUUGAAGUCUGAGUGAAAAUAUAAAUUAUUUAAAACUUUCAACAACGGAUCUCUUGGUUCCGGCAUCGAUGAAGAACGCAGCGAAAUGCGAUACGUAAUGUGAAUUGCAAAUUCAGUGAAUCAUCGAGUCUUUGAACGCACAUUGCGCCCCCUGGUAUUCCGGGGGGCAUGCCUGUCCGAGCGUCAUUGCUGCCCUCAAGCCCGGCUUGGUGUGUUGGGCCCCGUCCUCCGAUUUCCGGGGGACGGGCCCGAAAGGCAGCGGCGGCACCGCGUCCGGUCCUCGAGCGUAUGGGGCUUUGUCACCCGCUCUGUAGGCCCGGCCGGCGCUUGCCGAUCAACCCAAAUUUUUAUCCAGGUUGACCUCGGAUCAGGUAGGGAUACCCGCUGAACUUA
rnacentral:rRNA from 1 species